rnacentral:rRNA from 1 species
UUGCACGCUGGCGGCAGGCCUAACACAUGCAAGUCGAACGGUAACAGGAAACAGCUUGCUGUUUCGCUGACGAGUGGCGGACGGGUGAGUAAUGUCUGGGAAACUGCCUGAUGGAGGGGGAUAACUACUGGAAACGGUAGCUAAUACCGCAUAACGUCGCAAGACCAAAGAGGGGGACCUUCGGGCCUCUUGCCAUCGGAUGUGCCCAGAUGGGAUUAGCUAGUAGGUGGGGUAACGGCUCACCUAGGCGACGAUCCCUAGCUGGUCUGAGAGGAUGACCAGCCACACUGGAACUGAGACACGGUCCAGACUCCUACGGGAGGCAGCAGUGGGGAAUAUUGCACAAUGGGCGCAAGCCUGAUGCAGCCAUGCCGCGUGUAUGAAGAAGGCCUUCGGGUUGUAAAGUACUUUCAGCGGGGAGGAAGGGAGUAAAGUUAAUACCUUUGCUCAUUGACGUUACCCGCAGAAGAAGCACCGGCUAACUCCGUG